UACAGAGGGUGCAAGCGUUAAUCGGAAUUACUGGGCGUAAAGCGAGCGUAGUCGGUUAUUUAAGUCGGGUGUGAAAUCCCCGGGCUCAACCUGGGAAUUGCAUUCGAUACUGGAUAGCUAGAGUUCGGCAGAGGGAAGCGGAAUUUCCGGUGUAGCGGUGAAAUGCGUAGAUAUCGGAAGGAACAUCAGUGGCGAAAGCGGCUUCCUGGACCAGAACUGACGAUCAGGCUCGAAAGCGUGGGGAGCAAACAGGAUUAGAAACCCCCGUAGUCC
rnacentral:rRNA from 1 species